rnacentral:misc_RNA from 1 species
GAAAUUUUUUUUUUUUCUUUUUUUCCGUUGGUGAGUAUCUCCCUGUCUUAUCAUCUCCAAAUAGGAAUCCAUCCAUCAAAUUUGAACGGAAAGCUUACUUACUUGUUCAACCAUGGGAUGCUUAUCUCCAUCUCCUGUCUCUGCAAUAUCUUUCACUAACCCAACUCUCUCCAAAAGGGUCUCUUCAUCUUCUAUGUUCAUUCCCAAAGCCAUGAAAAAGGAGCUUUACUUUAACCAUGAUGGUUCAGCAACAAAGAAACUUCUGGCUGGGGUGGAUAUGGUGGCAGAGCUAGUAGGAGUAACUUUAGGUCCAAAGGGAAGGAAUGUGGUGUUGGAAAAUAAGUAUGGACCCCCUAAGAUUGUUAACGAUGGAGAAACAGUUCUUAAACAGAUUGAACUGGAGGACCCCUUGGAGAAUGUAGGAGUGAAAUUGGUGAGGCAAGCUGGUGCGAAAACAAAUGACCUUGCUGGUGAUGGUUCCACAACAUCUGUAGUUCUUGCUCAUGGUUUAAUCACCGAAGGGCUGAAGGUAAGACACCAGUGGACUGUCUUGUAAAUCCAUAAGUACUUGCUCUGAUGAUUUAAAGACCGACACUUCUUAUAUCGUGAUAUGUUUGAAAUAAGAUUCAUAGAAGGUAAAUUUGUAGCUAGUAGAGGUGCCUACCAUUCAUGUCAUAAAGUGGCUCUUGGCUUUCAGUUUUUCUUUUUCAAGGACAUGUCUACUUCAUAUAUCUCUCUAAGAUUUAUAUAAAAUUCUCUGAACUUUUUCCGUUAAAGAUGACACAAUUUCUAGGUGAUUGCAGCUGGCACGAAUCCUGUCCAAAUUGCUCGUGGGAUUGAGAAAACCUCAAAAGCCCUUGUUUCCGAACUCAAAUUGAUGUCUAGAGAGGUUGAGGAUGAUGAGCUCUCCGAUGUUGCUGCAGUUAGUGCAGGGAAUGAUUAUACAGUGGGAAAUAUGAUAUCUGAUGCUUUUCGGAAAGUGGGAAGGAGGGGUGUGGUCACAAUUGAAAAAGGAAAGUAUAUUGAGAACAAUCUACA